rnacentral:rRNA from 1 species
GAUGAACGCUGGCGGCGUGCUUAAUACAUGCAAGUCGAGCGAAAAGACGCGGCUCGCGGGGUGCUGGUGUGAGGAGCGGGCGGGUGAGUAGCAGGUGGACAGCCUACUUAUAAGGGUUGGGCAAGGGCGAGUAGGUGGAGUAAAUGCUGGGAGAUAGUUUGAGGCGGAUGGUUGAAAAGAGAAGGACGGGUUUGGGGUGAGCUAGCGACGGAUCCGCGCUUCGUUGGCUAGUUGGCAAGGUAACGGCUUAACAAGGCAACGAUGCAUAGCCGGCCUGAGAGGGUGAUCGGCCACACUGGAUCUGAGACACGGUCCAGACUCCUACGGGAGGCAGCAGUAGGGAAUCUUCCGCAAUGGGCGAAAGCCUGACGGAGCAACGACGCGUGAGUGAUGAAGGUCUUCGGAUCGUAAAACUCUGUUAUUAGGGAAGACCAUAUGUGUAAGUCACUGUGCACAUCUUGACGGUACCUAAUCAGAAAGCAACGGCUAACUACGUG